GGUUGGUUAGCUCAGUUGGUUAGAGCGUGGUGCUAAUAGGAUCCCCAUUCUAAUACGCCAAGGUCGCGAGUUCGACCCUCGUACUGACCA